rnacentral:tRNA from 1 species
GAUUGUCUAGCUUAGUUGGUAGAGCACAAGGCUUUUAACCUUAAGGUUGUGUGUUUAAGCCCCAUCAUGAGUCA